UGUCCGUAGGUGAACCAGCGGAAGGAUCAUUACUGUAACCGGACCGUUCCCUUACCGUAAAACGCACUGGUUUGGGAAGGGAGAUAUCAUACACCCUAUGUUUAUUUCCUUUCGUUGCUUUGGUGGGCCGUCCUUUACCGCAUCGGCUUCGGCUGAUCGCGCACGCCAGAGGAGCCAAACACUUUUAUUAGUGCUGUCUGAGUAAUAUAAAAUAGUUAAAACUUUCAACAACGGAUCUCUUGGUUCUG
rnacentral:misc_RNA from 1 species